UGGGGAAUUUUGGACAAUGGGCGAAAGCCUGAUCCAGCAAUGCCGCGUGUGUGAAGAAGGCCGUCGGGUUGUAAAGCACUUUUGUCCGGAAAGAAAUGGCUCUGGUUAAUACCUGGGGUCGAUGACGGUACCGGAAGAAUAAGGACCGGCUAACUACGUGCCAGCAGCCGCGGUAAUACGUAGGGUCCAAGCGUUAAUCGGAAUUACUGGGCGUAAAGCGUGCGCAGGCGGUUGUGCAAGACCGAUGUGAAAUCCCCGAGCUUAACUUGGGAAUUGCAGUGGUGACUGCACGGCUAGAGUGUGUCAGAGGGGGGUAGAAUUCCACGUGUAGCAGUGAAAUGCGUAGAGAUAUGGAGGAAUACCGAUGGCGAAGGCAGCCCCCUGGGAUAACACUGACGCUCAUGCACGAAAGCGUGGGGAGCAAACAGG
rnacentral:rRNA from 1 species